rnacentral:lncRNA from 10 species
UAGGGUUGUAUAUACACAAUAGAAUACUAUUCAGGCUAUCAUUUGCAACAACAUCAAUAAACCUGGAGGUCAUUACGUUAAGUAAAAUAUAAACAUAAUAUUGCAUAGAAAGACAAGUUCUGCAUGAUCUCGCUUAUCUGUGGAAUCUGAAAAAGUUGAACUCAUAGAAGUACAGAGUGGAAUGGUGGUUACCAGGGGCUGGGGUUGGGGGAAAGAGAUUGGGAAAAUCUUGGUCAAAGAUACAAAAUUUCAGUUACAUAGAAAGAAUAAGUUCAAGGUCGGGCGCGGUGGCUCACCCUAUUUGUCAGUUUUUUUAAUCUCCCCUGUGUAGCCCCAGCAAGCUCCUUUCUGGUGAUUAAAUUAUCCUGUAUCCUGAUGGUGGUAGUGGUUACACAGAUCUAUACAAGAGACCAAGAGCACAGCAACACACACACACACACACACACACACACAUAUGCGUGUAAAAACCAGUGGAAUCUGAACAAGGUCUGGAGUCUAGUAUUGUCCCAAUGUCAAUUUCCUGGGGCUGCUAUUUUGCAGCAGUUACAUAAGACACCCCCACUGGGGAGAGCUGCAGGGAGGGCUCGGGAGAUCCUUCGUACUAUUUUUGUAAUUUCCUAUGAAGCUAUAGUCAUUUCAAAAGUAAAAGUGAAAAACAAAAUCCCUCCCACAAUUUCAUCUAUUCCAAUACAUUUCUUGCCACUUAAUUUGGGUUGCACUAUUUGUAACUGGUAACACACCUAAAAUUAUUUUGGUAAUGAGGAGGCUGAAAUGUUUGGGCUUCCAGUGUGUUUUCAGAGGUUUUGUUUGGGAGAGAGGCGAGGAAAUAACCCCAUGCCCUUUCUGCAAAUGGAGCAAC